rnacentral:rRNA from 1 species
GACGAACCGUCCAAACGUUAUUCGGAUUUACUGGGCGUAAAGGGCGCGUAGGCGGCCACCGCAAGUCGGUUGUGAAAUCUCUGGGCUUAACCCAGAAAGGUCAACCGAUACUGCGGGGCUAGAGUGCAGAAGGGGCAACUGGAAUUCUCGGUGUAGCGGUGAAAUGCGUAGAUAUCGAGAGGAACACCUGCGGCGAAGGCGGGUUGCUGGGCUGACACUGACGCUGAUGCGCGAAAGCUAGGGGGAGCGAACGGG